GGAUGUGAGGGCAAUCUGGCUGUGACAUCUUUCACCUGAUUGAUCUCCAGGGUUGAUUCAGGUGAUCUGGCUAGCUAUGCGGGUGUCCCUUCCUCCCUCACUGCUCCAUGUGCACCCCUCCUGAAGCUGCACGCUUGGUCAAAGAGGAAGACCUUCUCCGAAUAGAGGAGGACCAGUCUUCAAGUAGCUGUGCUGCCCUGCUAGAACCUCCACACAAUCUCUCAAGAAACUCACCUCUCCAUAAAAGAUAGAUCCUACUUUAGGGUGAAGGCAUGGAAAAAUGGUAGACCAAGAAAAUGAGCCUAGGAAACAAGCAGGUCUUGCUA
rnacentral:snRNA from 1 species